UACGUAGGGUGCAAGCGUUGUCCGGAAUUAUUGGGCGUAAAGGGCGCGUAGGCGGCUUGGUAAGUCAAAGGUGAAAUCCCUCGGCUCAACUGAGGAAUUGCCUUUGAAACUGCCUGGCUCGAGGCCGGGAGGGGGUAGCGGAAUUCCCAGUGUAGCGGUGAAAUGCGUAGAUAUUGGGAGGAACACCGGUGGCGAAGGCGGCUACCUGGACCGGUUCUGACGCUGAUGCGCGAAAGCGUGGGGAGCAAACAGG
rnacentral:rRNA from 1 species